AUCCAGAUGACCAGUUCCAAAUCAGACGAAAUGCACGUCCUGGAU
rfam:Schistosoma rodhaini strain Burundi genome assembly, scaffold: SROB_scaffold0002392